rnacentral:rRNA from 1 species
UACGUAGGGGGCAAGCGUUGUCCGGAAUCAUUGGGCGUAAAGGGCUCGUAGGCGGCCAACUAAGUCAUACGUGAAAUCCCUCGGCUUAACCGGGGAACUGCGUCUGAUACUGGAUGGCUUGAGUUCGGGAGAGGGAUGCGGAAUUCCAGGUGUAGCGGUGAAAUGCGUAGAUAUCUGGAGGAACACCGGUGGCGAAGGCGGCAUCCUGGACCGAUACUGACGCUGAGGAGCGAAAGCCAGGGGAGCAAACGGG